rnacentral:rRNA from 1 species
UACAGAGGUGGCAAGCGUUGUUCGGAAUUACUGGGCGUAAAGGGCGCGUAGGCGGUCUUCUAAGUCUUGUGUGAAAUCCCUCGGCUCAACUGAGGAACUGCACGGGAUACUGGAAGACUUGAGUUCGGGAGAGGUGAGUGGAACUGCGAGUGUAGAGGUGAAAUUCGUAGAUAUUCGCAAGAACACCAGUGGCGAAGGCGGCUCACUGGCCCGAUACUGACGCUGAGGCACGAAAGCGUGGGGAGCAAACAGG